CUGCAACUCGCCUACAUGAAGCUGGAAUUGCUAGUAAUCACAGGUCAGCAUACUGUGGUGAAUACGUUCCCGGGCCUUGUACACACCGCCCGUCACGCCAUGAGAGUUGAGAAUACCCGAAGUCCAUGUCAAAGUGGCCGAAGGUAGGCUUGAUGAUUGGGGUGAAGUCGUAACAAGGUAUC
rnacentral:rRNA from 1 species